rnacentral:rRNA from 1 species
UACGGAAGGUGCAAGCGUUGUUCGGAAUGACUGGGCGUAAAGAGCACGUAGGCGGCUUUGUAAGUCGGAUGUGAAAGCCCCGGGCUUAACCUGGGAACUGCACCCGAAACUGCGAAGCUUGAAUGCUUGAGAGGUUGGUGGAAUUCCAGGUGUAGGAGUGAAAUCCGUAGAUAUCUGGAGGAACAUCGGCGGCGAAGGCGGCCAACUGGUGAUGCAUUGACGCUGAGGUGCGAAAGCGUGGGGAGCAAACAGG